ensembl:lncRNA
CUUAAUACUUUGACUUUAAGCUAACUCAGCUUGUGAAAAUUUGGAGUUUUCCAAUUGAUAGAACAAAGGACAACUAUUCUCUUCUCUAAAAGAUUCACCAUGAGAUUCAUAUGUAAAUAACAAUUAUGAUUUGAUUUUUAAAGGCAAUUUACAUGUAACAUAUCAGGAACUUCUCUAUAGUUCAAUGCCAGGCACCUUUUAUUCAAAUAAAUUCAAUAAAUGUGUGUUACAUAAUUCACACAAACUUGAAGAGUGAUCCUUUAAUGGAAAGUCACCUAUUAAUAUUCUGCCUCAAAGGGCCAGGAUCAAUUAUUUCAAAAUCCAAUAAUAGUUGGGAAAAGCAGGAAUGUCUUUAAUGUGCUCUUGCCUAGUAUCACUGUUACCUUUAAUUUUACUUCAUUUCCUUUCAUUUCAUGAUGCAUUUAAAGGAAAACAUUCUUAUAGUUAAUUCUCUGAAGGUAUCAAUCAAUCUGCAGCUCAUGGUGAACAAUUGUCAUGUAAAAUCUAGUCUCAUGAAAUGGAGCUCUGGCUGUGAUAUAUUCCCCAGGCGAUUUUUCAUUCAAUUAUAGAGACACAAGGAAUUAACUCUCAUUUUACAUAAAUUUAUAAGAAUGUAACUUUAUUGGCAAGAUGACUGAAAGAAUCAUGAAAGUUAUUUAAGUAUCAUUACUUAAGUAAUUAUCAUUAAUUAUGAAUAACUGUCUCUAAUCAGUUGGAGUCACAUUGAUUUUUUUCUUUGAAUUCAAGUUGCAUUAGGCUUUAUUUUUAUCUCCUCACCAAGACCCUCUUUCAUCCUGCCUUAUGGUUAUGGGCAGCCCCGUACUAAUUCGGAUUAGAUGUGGUGAAAUCAGUUGUGAUGACAGUUGAAUCAGUGCUCAUUUCCCCAGAAAGGCGGUUUCAUAUUCCUCGGUGCUGAUGGCUUCCCUAAGAUCAGUGGUCACUUCAUCAGUAGUGGCCAGUGCAUCAGUGGUUAUGUCAGUGGGGGUGAUAGGGUCAGUGGAUGAGAUGUCAUCAAAAGUAGAGGUAUCAAGGGUGACAACAGCAGAAGAUGUAGGGGCAAAAGUUGUUGCUGGAGAGGAUAGAGAAUCAGUGGCUCUAGGUGUGGUAAGGGCAGUUGUACUAAUGACAGAUGUGCUAGCAGAUGUGCUAGUGGUUACAGAUGUAGUUGGGGCAGAUGUGCUGAGGGUAGAUGUGGUACUUACAGGUUCUGUAGUAGGGGAAGGAAAUAUGGUAGUUGCAGAAUUGGUGGUACUCGUGGUAGCAGAGGUGGUUACAGUAGGAGUAGUGUUAGUGAAAGUAGGUGUAGUGGUUGAAGAGGCAGACGUGGUAGUGGCAUCUUGUGUGGUAGGGACAGAUGUAGGUAAAGUAGAUGUGGACCCAGUGACAGUAGUGGUGGAAGUAACAGUUGUGGUACUAGUGACAGAGGAGGUUGAUAGAGGGGUGGUGGCAGUAGAAGUGGCUCCAGAGGUAGCAAUGGCAGCGGUAGCAGAUGUGAAGGUUGUAGGUUCAGCGGAUGUAACUGUAGUAGUUGGGAUAGAAGUGCUGACCUCGGGGGUGGUGGCCUCAGUAGGGAAAGAGGUGUCAGUCAGAGUGGUAGCAUCAGUGUUGUCAUCGGGGGUGGUGGAAUCAUCCACCACCAUAGUUGUGUCAGGGGGGAAAGUAUCAGCAAUGGUUGUAUCCUCAGGUGUGACUGAGGGGACAGAUGUCUCAUCAGGUGUGGUGCUAACAGAAGCAGUUGUGUCAGUGGAGAUCAGGCUGGUGGUGAUUGUGGUGGGAGGAGCAGAUGAGAGAACAGAUGUGGCUGUAGGUUGGGCAGUGGUGGCCACAGAUGUUGUGCUAGCAGGUGUGGUAGAGGAGGCAGCAGAGGUAGUGCUGGGGGCAGCAGUGGUAGCUGCAGCAGGUGUUGUGGUCGAGGUGGCAGAAGAGGUAGUGGCAGCUUGUGUGGUAGGGGCAGAUGUGAGGGCAGCCAAUGUGGUCGUAACCGUAGCAGACGUUGUAUCAGGGUUUGUGCUAAUGGCAGCAAAUUGGGUGCGUGCCACUGUUGUGUUAGAGACAACAGGUGUGGAUGCAGUGGCAAUAGUGGUAGAAGUAAUAGCUGUGGUACUAGUGACAGAGGUGGUUGAUAGAGGGGUGGUGGUAGAGGCGGCAGAAGGAGAAGUUGCCACAGUUGUGGUAGUGGCAGGAGAUGUGGUGCCUUCAGUUGUGUUCAAGGCAGCAGAGGUUAUGCUGGUUGGAGCAGCUAUAGUAGAGGAGGAUACAGUGGCAACAGGCGUUGUUAUCGAGGAAACAGAGUUAUUAAUGGCUGUAGAUGCAGUGCUCGUGGGAGUGAUGAUAGAGGUGGCAGUAGAUGUGGAAGGGGCAGAAGUAGUUCCCGAGGAGGCUGUGGUAGAGGAAGCUGAUGGGCUAGAGGCACCAGUGGUGGCAACCACAGAUGUGGCCACAGAUGUUGCAGAAGUAGUAGAAGUGGCUGAUGAGGGGUUAGUGGCAGCAGAAGUGGCCCCAGAGGUAGCAAUGGCAGCAGUAGCAGAUGUGAAGGUUGUAGGUUCAGCAGAUGUAACUGUAGUAGUUGGGACAGAAGUGCUGACCUCAGGGGUGGUGGCUUCAGUAGGGAAAGAGGUGUCAGACAGAGUGGUAGCAUCAGUGUUGUCAUCGGGGGUGGUGGAAUCAUCCAAUGUAGUUGUGUCAGGGGGGAAAGUAUCAACAAUGGUUGUAUCCUCAGGUGUGACUGAGGGGACAGAUGUGGUGGUGGUGAUAGAAGGUGUGGCAACAGUGGUUGCUGUGGUGGUAGAAACAUGUGUGACAUUGAUGGGUGCCACAGAUGUAGUUAUAGCAGAUGCAUUAGAAGCAUCUGAUGUGGUAGUGUUGGCAGGAAUGGUGGUUUCAGAUGUGGUCGUGAGAAGAGUUAUGGCACUAGAUUUGGUAGUGGCAACAGAUGUGGUAGUUGUGGCAAUGGGUGUGGUGUGAGCAGGUCUUGUGGUUGAGGCAGCAAAUUGGGUGCGUGCCACUGUUGUGUUAAAGACAACAGGUGUGGAUGCAGUGGCAAUAGUGGUAGAAGUAAUAGCUGUGGUACUAGUGACAGAGGUGGUUGAUAGAGGGGUGGUGGUAGAGGUGGCAGAAGGAGAAGUUGCCACAGUUGUGGUAGUGGCAGGAGAUGUGGUGCCUUCAGUUGUGUUCAAGGCAGCAGAGGUGGUAGUUGUGGCAAUGGGUGUGGUGUGAGCAGAUCUUGUGGUUGAGGCAGUAGAUGUGACAACAACUGGUGCCGGGCUAAUGUCAGUCAGGGUGGUAGUGCUGCCAGAUGGAGUGGAUGAAACUCUUGUGGUAGGGGUAGAAGAUAGACUGGUGGUAGUAGAUGGGGUAGUAGAUUUGGUGGCAGUGGUGGUAGUAGGUUUAAUAUUAAUGUUAGAAUUGGUGGUUGUGGGUUCCUGGGUAGUUGUAGUGGUUUGUUUGGUGGUAGCGGUGUAAGGUUUGGUUGUUGGUUUCGAGAUUGUUGGUUUAGGUCUGUGGGGAACAUUUGGUUUUGGACGGCAAUUAUGUUGGCCCGGUCUCUGUGGCUUAGGUCGAGGUGGAUGAGGUCUGCGUUUGGGACCUUUUCUGGGGGGUGAUGGUUUCUUUGGGAGAGGGGUUUUUUGUGCUCCAGUUGUAGAUAGAGUUUUUUUGUGAGAAGGUACCGGAUGUUUUGUGCAUGGGGCUGUUGUAGGCCGAGGUUUUCGUGAAACAGGCUUCUUUUUGGUGACUGUUGUGGGCUGAGGCUUUCGUGAAAUGGGCUUCCUUCUGGUGACUCUUUUGCGCUGAGGCUUUCGAGAAACGGNNNNNNNNNNAACUGGCUUCUUUUUGGUGACUGUUGUGGUCUGAGGAUUUGGUGAAACUGACUUCUUUUUGGUGACUGUUGUGAUCUGAGAAUUUGGUGAAAGGCGCUUCUUUCUGAUGGCUGUUUUGGGUCGAGGCUUUCGAGAAACGGGCUUCUUUCUGGUGACUAUUUUGCUCCGAGAGUUUCGUGAAACUGUCUUCCCUCUAGAGACUGUUGUGGUCUGAGGAUCUGAUGAAACUACCUUUUUUCUGGCUGCUGUUUUAGGCUGAGGGUUUCGUGAAACAGCCCUCCUUCCAGAGGAUGUUGUGGUCUGAGGAUUUGGUGAAACGGCCUUCUUUCUGGGGGCUGCUUUGGGUCGAAGCUUUCGAGAAACGGGUGUCUUUCUGGGGGCUGCUUUGGUCUGAGGAUUUUGUUGAAGAGCUCUCCCUUGUGCUGCUGUUUUUCUGGGAGAUUUUUGUAGAACAGACCCCCCUUUUGCAUCUGUUUUGGUUUGGGGUUUUCGUGCAACACGUUUGCUUUGCCUUGCAGGUUUGCUUUUUGAAGUGCUUGCACUUGAAGGAGAUCUUGCUGCUUCUAUCCUCUGUCGAGGAGGUGAAUUUUGCUGUGAUUGCAUUCGGUUAGACUUUUGAACAUAGCCUGACUGAUCAGUCCUUUUCUGAUCAAGUGACCCAGUCUGUCUCUGCUGUGUCCUACUUAACUGCAGAAAUAAAGAAAUAUGCAGAGUUAAACA